GCAUGGCUGAAUUCUGUAUUACUCCUGACAUAGUAAAUACAGUCAGACACCAUGCUAAAUAAAUGUUUUCACACACUGACCAACAAUGGGAUUUGAGUGCUUAUUGUGUACCUCAUUCUUAUGUCAGAGUGAAUACAGCA
rnacentral:snoRNA from 1 species